AUUGAACGCUGGCGGAAUGCUUUACACAUGCAAGUCGAACGGUAGAGGGGGCAACCCCUUGAGAGUGGCGAACGGGUGAGUAAUAUAUCGGAACGUGCCCAGUCGUGGGGAUAACGUAGCGAAAGUUACGCUAAUACCGCAUACGAUCUAAGGAUGAAAGCGGGGGAUCGCAAGACCUCGCGCGAUUGGAGCGGCCGAUAUCAGAUUAGGUAGUUGGUGAGGUAAAGGCUCACCAAGCCAACGAUCUGUAGCUGGUCUGAGAGGACGACCAGCCACACUGGAACUGAGACACGGUCCAGACUCCUACGGGAGGCAGCAGUGGGGAAUUUUGGACAAUGGACGCAAGUCUGAUCCAGCCAUUCCGCGUGCAGGAUGAAGGCCUCGGGUUGUAAACUGCUUUUGUACGG
rnacentral:rRNA from 1 species